AGAAUUUAGGGUUUAGGGUUUAGAGUUUAGGGUUUAGAGUUUAGGGGUGGGGUUUAGCGUUUAGGGUUUAGAGCUUAGGGUUUAGAGUUUAGGGGUGGGGUUUAGGGUUUAGGGUUUAGAGUUAAGAGGUGGGGUUUAGGGUUUAGGGUUUAGGGUUUAGAGUUUAGGGGUGGAGUUUAGGGUUUAGGGUUUAGAGUUUAGGGUUUAGGGUUUAGAGUUGGAGAGUAGGGUUUGAGAUAAGAUUUCAAAUUUUGAAAAAUAAAAAAAAAUAAAAUUUUUCAAAAGAUAAAAUGUUAUUUUGGUCAUUUUAAUUUUUUAGGGCUAUUUUUGUGACAUAAACUUAGAAAAAUGUUAUUUUGGAGAUUUGCCCAAAAUAUUUUUACAAGUUUAUUAACAUAACAAUAUGCAUUUAAUUUUUUUAUAUACUAGUAUAGGCCACUAAGUUGUAAUACGCGUAAAAAGCUUUGUAUGAAAAGAAGCAUUUUUGUAUGCAUAGUUUUCUUUGUGAACACAAUAUUUUCUUUUGCACGUUAUUGCUUUUGUAGAUAUUUCAAAGUUUGAUGCUAUAAAUAUUUUAUUCUUUUUUUUCUUUGGCCAAACAAGUGAAAUAGCCCUUUUUAAAGGCAUUUUGAAAGUGAAAAUAGUCUUUCAAAUACUAUCUGUUUAGCAUGAUAAAUGAUUAAAUAAGCCUUCACUAAAAAACGGUGAAUUUGAUUAAAACUAAUAAAUGUGGGAUAUUAAUUUAGAAAAAAUGACAUUAAAUUUAAAUAUAAUGUCUGAUACAUAUUUACGCAAAAAUGUAAAUGAGCAUGAAUUAUUUUAAAACUUAUUUAUAGAAUUUUAAAAAACUUGACACUAAAAUUGUUUUUCGCUUACAAGUUUUUUAAAAUCUUUGAUAUAAGUCGGUCUUUUAGUUUGUUUUUGUAACUCCAUAUUUAGUUAUCAAUAUAAGUUUUAAAGAAUCAAGUUGAGAAACAAUUGAGAAUGAUUAAUGUAGAUUAACUAAUAUCAAAUCUGGUUAUAAAUUUUUUCACUUUAUUAUGCCAAAGCAUUACAACUUCAGAAUAUUUGAGAGAAAACAAAAUGAACAAAAUAACUAAAAGUAAAACUGCAAAAACUGGAAAUUUUAUUUGUACUAUAUCAUAAUAUUUAAAAUCUGACUGAAAAACAAAUACUGUAAAAUAUUAUAAAUUACCAGUUAUACACAAAAUGUAUCAUAUCAUAUUGUUAGGUUUUAGAAUCCAUACCACUCAGAUAUUUAAAAAUAAUAGCUAAAUAAAUCUUAGUUGUCUAUAGUAGUUAUAUUAAUAUACAUUUUGAUUGUUCUAGAUCAUUAUGUAAGAUAACUAAAUUUAGCUGGAUCAUGAAUAAAAACAUAUUAUCAUUUCGGAUUAUAUGGAUUAGAAUGAUAACAACCAAAAAUCAAUAAAAUUUGAAGAAAAAAAAAGAAUUCAAAAAAAAAUAAAAACUUAAUUUAAUAAAAGAUAUGUUAGAGAAUAUAAAAUUUUCAUGAGGAUUUUUUUUAUUUCAAUAGGAAAUAUUGUUAUUAUAGUGUGAAGUAAAUUUGGCGGCAAAGAUGCCAGAAUGUUAUGCCGAAUCUGAAGGAGAGGGACCAUGUCUUCCUUUUCGAACAGGCUAUCACAAGUGGUGACAGCUUAGAAACAUGUGUUUUUUAUUUAUUUCUUUUCAUAUAUUAGAUUUUAUUGCUCCUAAGACAUAAUCAUUGAUCUCAUUUGCGAAUUUAAUAUUCUUGUGGGUAUAUUCUAUGCAUCUUCUUCUCUGAUGUGACUAUAAAUAUAUUGUUUUGUUUGCUUGCAAUGUUCCUCACUUCAAAUCAAUUUUUGGUGGGAAAACUAAAUGGGAUUAUUAGAUUACUGAAUUUCUAGUUAGAUUUUUUUUUGUCGACGAAUUUUCUAGUUAGAUGAGAUCACUGGAUUGAUAAGUUCUAAAUCUUCUCUGGAUAGUUUAUAUAAAUAUGCACAUAGUACAAUAUUGCAAAGGCAGCACGGCGAUUUUUGUUUUCAAUGAAUAUUGUUGCUGUUCUUUUUAACUAUUUUGAAAGUAUUAAUUUCAUAUUCAAAAAGCUAAUAAAUUCAAAUUGAGUUGUUCUUUUUGGGCAAACACGGUCAAACAAUCACUCGCACCCCAAUCUGAAACCAUUGUUUGAUUUCUGUACGUAACUAGAGUUGCUUGUGUGCAAGAAAUAAAGUGUAUCGCAAGAAUUUGACUUCAAUAGAUAGAUUAUAUAAGCAACGAAUAACAAAUUUAACGUGACGAAAUAUAACAAUGUUUUUAAAUUGAAAAAGUUUCGUGAAGUUUUCUAGGGACUUAAUUUUACAAAAGGAUUUGAUUGGCAACAAUUGUGUUUAGUAAGGCGGUUGAGAGCUGGAUUGGUCGUGAACUUGUUUGCGAAACAUGUUUCAGUUACUUUUAGCAAAAGCCCCCUAGUUGUUCCAUUUCAGUUCUGAUGCACACCUAGUUGUAGUAUUCACAUGUCCCAUGACUCCCAUAGGUAACCGGAAAACGGCUUAAUUUGAGACUCUAACCACCUCAAAUAAUGCCAGAGGUUCGAAACCGGUUGGCCCCUUUUUAAUAAUAUUAUUUUUUCACACCAAAAAAGAUUAUGCUAGAAAAUUAGAAAUAUACCUAAAUCAUCAGGCUGAAAUGGACCAGUAGGCUUUAUAAUCAUGCCCAUGAUUAACCCCGGCUAAGAACUGAUGUUCUUAAUUCAAAAUUUGACAUUUUUUGUUUUUGUUUUUGUUUUUUACAUUUUUCGGUUAAAAAAUAGCUUUUAUAUCUCUUAUUUAAGAAACGGUUCUUAGCUUUUCUUAAUUAAAAUAGAAGAAAAGUUAAGAACCGUCUCUUACCCGAAGUUAAAAACACCAGUUAAGAGACUGAGGUUAAUCAUGAUGAUCUGACCACUAGAGUUUCAACAAAUCCCAUUCAGAUUUUAUACUAGCACAAGCUCGAUUUAAAUAAUAAUAAUAAAAAAAAACAGAAAGAUCAAUUCUUCUUAUCACAAGAAGCUCCUCUGUUUAGUCAACGCCUCCAUCACCACCACCUCCACCGUAGCCGCCACCACCGUACGCCCGGGGAGCACUUGGUCUGUCGUUAGCAACAUUCACUCGGAUGUUCCGCCCAUUCAGUUCCUGAAAUUACAUAAAGAGAAAAAGACAAAAAUAACACUAAAUCAAGUUUUUGUUCCCAAACUAGCACUCAAGGUCAAAAGUCACAAAAUAACAUUUAAUGUUUUAUCAAAAGUCACAAACUUAGGGUUUAGAGUUAAAUGGUGGGGUUUAGGAUUUAGGGUUUAGGGUUUAGAGUUUAGGGUUUAGAGUUUAGGGUUUAGGGUUUAGGGUUUAGGGUUUAGGGUUUAGAGUUUAGGUUUUAGGGUUUAUAGUUUAGGGUUUAGGGUUUAGAGUUAAGAGUUUAGGGUUUAGGGUUUAGGGUUUAGAGUUUAGGAUUUAGGGUUUAGAGUUGAGAAAUGAGGUUUUGGAGAUAAGAUUUCAAAUUUUAAAAAAUAAAAAAAUUAAAAUUUUUAAAAAAUAGAAUGCUAUUUUGGUCAUUUUAGUUUUUGAGUGCUAAUUUUGUGAUAUAAACUUAGAAAUGUGCUAUUUUGGAGAUUUGCGCUUACAUAAACC
rnacentral:lncRNA from 1 species